rnacentral:rRNA from 1 species
AGUGAACGCUGGCGGUAGGCCUAACACAUGCAAGUCGAACGGCAGCACAGUAAGAGCUUGCUCUUACGGGUGGCGAGUGGCGGACGGGUGAGGAAUACAUCGGAAUCUACUUUUUCGUGGGGGAUAACGUAGGGAAACUUACGCUAACACCGCAUACGACCUACGGGUGAAAGCAGGGGAUCUUCGGACCUUGCGCGAUUGAAUGAGCCGAUGUCGGAUUAGCUAGUUGGCGGGGUAAAGGCCCACCAAGGCGACGAUCCGUAGCUGGUCUGAGAGGAUGGACCAGCCACAGUGGAAAGGAGACACGGCCCAGACUCGUACGGGAGGCACAAGGGGGGAAUAUGGGAAAAGGGGCGCAGGCCUGACCCAGCAAUACCGGGGGGGGGAAGAGGGCGUUGGGUUGGAAAGCCCCUUUUGUGGGAAAAAAAAAGCAGCAGUUUAACCCCCCGUUUUCCGGACGUGCCCAAAAAAAAAAGCCCCGCCUAACUUCGGC